rnacentral:rRNA from 1 species
AUUGAACGCUGGCGGAAUGCUUUACACAUGCAAGUCGAACGGUAGAGGGGGCAACCCCUCGAGAGUGGCGAACGGGUGAGUAAUAUAUCGGAACGUGCCCAGUCGUGGGGGAUAACGUAGCGAAAGUUACGCUAAUACCGCAUACGAUCUAAGGAUGAAAGCGGGGGAUCGCAAGACCUCGCGCGAUUGGAGCGGCCGAUAUCAGAUUAGGUAGUUGGUGGGGUAAAGGCUCACCAAGCCAACGAUCUGUAGCUGGUCUGAGAGGACGACCGGCCGCACUGGAACUGAGACACGGUCCAGACUCCUACGGGAGGCAGCAGUGGGGAAUUUUGGACAAUGGACGCAAGUCUGAUCCAGCCAUUCCGCGUGCAGGAUGAAGGCCCUCGGGUUGUAAACUGCUUUUGUACGGAACGAAAAGGUCUCUCUUAAUACGGGGGACUCAUGACGGUACCGUAAGAAUAAGCACCGGCUAACUACGUGCCAGCCGCCGCGGUAA